UGUUAUAUAGCUGGCGUGAGUCACGUGACCAUACCGUCACGUGACCAUUCCGUCUCUUCCUCACGCCGGCCAGAGCGCACAGCCGGUCACAACAAGCAGCAAGCACUCACGUUUAGAGCUGAAACGAUUCCUCGAGUACCUCGAAUAAUUCGAGUACAAAAAAUCCUCGAGUCAAAUUCUCUGCCUCGAGGAUUCGUUUAAUUCAUAUUUAAUUAAUUCAUGGCUUUGCAAUCGCCCGUGGUCAUGUUUCACCCGGACCGAAAUAAGUGACGCACGUGCCCACUGGACUGCGAGUAGCGAAUAUAACUUAACUUUCUCUUAAGCCAUGGCGGACAACGUUGACCCCGGUGGAGGGCGAAAAAGACAGAAAAUGUCAAAGUUGUGGAACCAUUUUUCACGUCGUAAGGUGAAAACGUAGUCCAGUAUAAAUACAGUAAAAUGGAUUUAGCCUAGCACAACACCACAUCCUCCGUGCUGCAGCACCUGUAAAUGUCACUUCUGCAAGCGGACUCGGAGCCUCUACAAGAUAGUGCAUUUAGCCUGUAUUUCUAUAUAUUCUGCAGACACUGUGACUUUUUCGUUUGUAGCGCUCAGUUUCAGCUCACACCGUACGUUUGGUAGCAACACGUCGGACUUAAAAUGUGCUAAAAAAUAGCAGUUUUUACACAACACGUCGGAUUUUUUAUUGUGUUAUUGAUGUCUGUUGUCCCUCGGGGUUUCUGCAGCAGGACACGGGUAUUUAUGAGAGUGGCGGAGGAAAACGAAAGAAAGUAAAUAAAUGUUGUGUGAUCAGUAUAAUUUGACAAAACCACAGCAAACAUGCUUUUGGCAAUCCUUGUUAGUGUGAGAAAAAAAGUGUAGAAAUUAAAACGGACGUGUGUUAAUAGGGAAACAGGGGCGAGCUGUUUGCGCCAUGAGCGGUUCUGGUUCUGUUUGGGCCGCAGCCGCUCGCAGCGUUAUCCUCCUAGUUUUUGUCUGGCUUGCUGGCUAGCAGAUUCUCGCAUGAGGGGAAAAUCGGCUCAGGUUGUUUACUUAUUUUUUGCACAGGCAUUUGUUUACUGUGAAGUAAAGUUGAAGUGCUGAAGUUAUGCAAACUAAUUUUGAAUAAAACUUGAAGAAUAACUGGCAAUUGCUUGCUCAUUUUAAGAGGUCUUUCAUAAUUAUAACAUGCUAUUUGAUAUCAAAUCACUUUUAUUGUCACGUCACAUGUGCAGGUACACUGGUACAGUACAUGCGAGUGAAAUUCUUGUGUGCGAGCUUCACAGCAACAGAGUUGUGCAAAAAUACAGUAAUGUAAAAACAAGUAAAAUAUAAAAUGGCUAAUCUAAGUAUACAAAUGAAUAAAGUAAACAAUAAGAUAAGAGAUAUAAAAUGUACAGAGGUUGGUAUGUGCAAAACAGUGGCAUUAAUGUACAGUAUGGAGCGUGUAAUGUUGGAACUUGGUGGAGCUCGCGACGAGGCAGCCAUACUCUGCGCCAUCUUGGCUCAUCAAUAUAUGAUAUAAAGGUUUACAAACACAAAAGGGUAAUUUAUUAGAGUACUCGAUUAAUCGAAAAAAAGAUUCGAUAGAGUACUCGAUUACAAAAAUAUUCGAUAGCUGCAGCCCUACUCACGUUUUCUUCAUGGCUGAGCGAGUGGUACAGAGCUUUUAGGACAUACAUAUUGAUUGGGAGAAACGGAAUAACACCGACAUGCCUCGUAAGGAGAGGAGGCGGAAGCAGCGACAGAAAGAGCUACAUGAGGCAGCUAAAGGCAGUGGGUCCUUCACCAGCUGGAUAAAAAAAGAGUACAGUCUGAGACCAACACAGCCUUGCCCUCCAGCAUCAUCAGCAGCAGCAAGAGGAGCAACCCUGCAACAGCUACACUGUACCCCAUCAUCAGGUAAAAUAGGACAGCAACAGAUCAGGAGGUGGAGCAGGUUGUCCGGUAAUCGGAAGGUUGCAGGUUUGAUCCUGACUUCAAUCAGAGAUUGAUGCUGUUGUGUCCUUGGGCAAGACACUUAACCUGCUUUGCCUGCUGGUGGUGGUCGGAGGGACUGGUGGCGCCUGUGCUCGGCAGCCUCGCCUCUGUCAGUGUGCUCCAGAGCACCUAUGGCUACAUCAUAGCUCAUCACCAUCAGUGUGUUAAUGUGUGUGUGUGAAAGACUGAUUGUGUUGUAAUGUGCCUUGGGGGGUUGUAGAACCCUAAGAAGGCAUUAUACAAAUACAGACCAUUUACCAAAACAAGUUACUUUUGCUUUACAUUGUCCUUAUGUGGUAAGGGUGUAUAUAAUGAUUCGCUUCCAUUUUGAAUUUCUAAUAAAUAUGAUUUGUUAUUCAGCCGGGUAUACUGUGGUUAUGUCAUGGUGUUUGAAAAUAUUAUUCUGUGUGCCCCUUUUUAAAUUUGAGCGCCCGCCCCUUCAAAGGUCUCUGCACAGCCCUGUAGCGAUGUGUACCGAAUUCGGUACUUUUUAAGGUACCGACCGAAUUCCAUAGUACCGACUGAGCACCGAUUCACGUCACUUGAAAUGGUGCCUCGUUUCGGUACCCGUCCUUCAUAAAGAGAACUUGCCUAGACAGCUGUGCAUGCGCAAGAGUGUUACGGCGUCGGUCGCUGCGAGCGAGUUGUAAACAGAGCAGCAUGGUAGAAAGAACGCACGCUAAAGCUUGGGUCCACUUCACUAAAUGUGAUGGGUAACUGGGUGAUGAUGAAACCAGCGACAACGAUCUAAGUGAGACAUCCUCAUCUUAAUCUGCUCUGGUAGGUAAAUAAAAUGUUUAAGAUAACGUUAGCUUGAUAUGUUAGCUUCCGUUUCGCUAAUGGUGCGUUCGCUUUCUCCUCAGAACUCCGAAAUUCCGACUAGAAGAACAUGAACGCGCUCUAAAGUUUGGCUUCACUUUACUAAAUGCGACGGGUGAUUGGGUGAAGAUGAAACCUGAGACAACGAUCUAAGUGUGAGGCAUCAUCGUUUUAAUCUGCUCCAGCAGCUAAAUAAACUGCUAAAGAUAACGUUAGCUUGAUAAAUUAGCUUCCAUUGCCCCAUUGUUAUUAUCUAAUGGUGCGUUCGCUUUCUCCUCGGAAAUUCUAACUUCCCAGUAGGAAAAAUCAAAUGAAAAAGGACGGCAAAAGGAAUGAAGAUACACAGUAAAUUUAGUUCACAGUAAAGAUGUUUGCUUCAGUUUAAUUAUCAGCUUAUAAAACUACAAGGACGAUGUUAAAAUACAAACAGUUGUAUGUUAUUUAUUGUGAUAUUUAUCAAAUAUGGUUAUAUAUUGAGAAAAAUAUAUAUUUAAUUAUAAAAGAGAAUUAAAAUAUUAAACACUCAAAAGUAUCUAAAAUUGGUACCAUUAAGUACCGGUAUCGACUCCUAGGUACCAGGAAUUAGUACCGAAUCGAUUCAAAUGUCAAAGGUACCCAUCCCUACUAAUGGCUUCCUAUUGCUAGAGGAAUAUUUAACCUCUACCCCUUGUAAUGCCACAUUAAGGUCCAGAAGCUUGGGCCGGUGCUGUACUGGCUGACUUCAGGCUACAUCGGCCGACACUGAAGGAUUCUUCCUCUGUAAAUGUCCCUAUAAACCGAAUUAGGCUUCCCAUAUGAAGCCAAUCGACGAGGAGAAGGGUUGGGCCUGAGAGGUUUGCUUGCCAGGGAACAAAUGUGCUCAAUGUACCCAAAUCACUGGACCAAAUUAGAUUGGGAAACAUACAUAUAUUUCCACAAUCACAUUAACAUUCCAAGUGAAUGGAAAAAAUUCUGGCCCCAUGGUGGGGAAGGUCGUUUGGUUUAUUGGGUGAAAUGGUUCAUGAGUGACUGUCAAAUAAAUCUAAUAUGGCACAGUGCGGUUCAGACAGCACUCGUCUGUUGGGUUUGUGCUCAGAUGUGCGUGAGAUAGAUUCUGAAUACAUGAUGAAUGUCAGUGGAACUAACAAGUUAAAACAAAUGGCCUGGUUUGAAAGCAAGUAAACAAAAGUAGAGAGGGUGAUUCAAGGCCUGUUUGCCUGUGAGGAUUCCUUUUAGCUUUGCACAUUAAUCACAUUACCUCGCGAGCUGUAGAUAGAUGCAAAGAAAUGCCUAAAUCCAAUUAUGCUGCGACAGAGCUACCCUGAUCUAAAGAGGACCACCUGUGGAAGACUUAGCGUUAACACGGGAUCCUGCUCGGUGUUGACCAGAGACGGCCUGCCUAAACCUCACAGAGAAAAGGCUAUGGGAGUGGAAUCCAAUCCAUUAGCCUGGAUUGAACAGAGAGGCCCUGGUGAAAGGAGAUCUGAAUCGCAACCGAAGAAAAGCAAGGCAGCAGAGUAGGUCGAGGAAGGGUCAAGA